AACUUGGACUACGGCCCUGCCGCUUCUUCAGGAUCCUGGCGUAAAGGAAAACACCUGUUCAUGAUGUGUGCAAGAAGGUAAGUUUAACGUCCUUUAAAUAAAAAACCGCAUGGGUGCAGAAAUGUUGUUAGCAGCUAUAUAUAGUGCCCUUUAGCAUUUUGGAUGUUUAAUUAGCUAGAGUACGUAUCCGUGUUAUGUGUCUGCGCCUGUGCUCACAAGCUUACCUAGCUAGCUUCCGUACAACACUGAUGUUGGGGGACCUCAUAUGUAUAAUCUGUUAUUAACAGAAUUAUUAUUAAGGUCCCACAUGCUCAGACAAAGGAGGCACUGCGGCUUGCAUGUAAAGUCCUCAUCCUGAUAGUAGUGAGUGAGAACAAAGAGAUUUCAAAUCUCAGCGCCAAAACCAGGCGCCAGGCUGGGGACCCAUACCUGGCUCCCCCGCUGACAUCCAACUCCCGCUGACACAAGCGACAAACGGAGGAGAAACUUGGACGUCAGCCAUCCUGAUUGGACCAAACAAUAGGACGGGCGUGACCAAAAACACGGUUAUAAAAGUCGCCGUGACCGAAGACUCGUCCCUCGUUCUCUUCGAUCUCCCCGUCCCUUGUUCUUUCCGACCCUGUCCCGUUUCCCCUUGUUCUCUGCGAUCUCUCCUUCCUUUCUUCUCUCCGACUUCGUCACGGACCCUUCUCUCCUCGCACACGAGACCACUGCAGACCUUUCUUUUCUCCGUCCGCCUGGAGCCUCCACCGCAGCCAACAGCUGAACCAACGGAGACGUCGUCACAGAGAACGGGCCUGAUCACCCAUCUACUCCCAGCCACACGGCAGGAAACCGCCAGCGUAACCGCCUCACUCGCCGCCGCAUCAGCUGAUCGCGACGCGAUCACCGCGACGCACACCUGGACCGGACCGGACCGCAACAGCGCAAGCACGCACGCACGCAACGCCGGAGCUUCUCACCAGGAAUAAGCAGUGUUAGAGCAGAGAACUACUGGAAACGGAAAACAGAAGUACAGAGACUUGCCCUAUUGGAAAGGUAACCCAUGAGCAUUAAAUAGAAAUGUGCUGUCAUGCUAUGCAUUUCCUGAGGUAAUUUACACGAAACUACCAAAAUGUUGUUUGAGUUAUUUUACUCUACAUAUUGUUUGCAUUGUAUAUCGUAUUAUCAUAAAUCUAUUAUUUGUUUCACACGGUAAAGGAACAUAAUCUAAUUACUUACACAAGUAUUUAUUUAAUUAAGCUUUAACAUUUGUACCUUUUUAUAAGAUUGUGUACUCAUUUCACAGCACAUAAUUGAUUUCCUAAUUUAGGAUUUAAUUUAUUUUGACUUGAAACGUGUUCUUUAUCAUCUAAAAUGUGUCUCCUAAUGUUCACCUCCAAUGGCCAUUCUGUGAAAUUGUCCCAUUCUGGAGCUGAGAAGAGACAGCAGGACAGGGAAUCACCUGCUAGUGCCGCGUCAGAUGUCUACAUGUCCACAAGUUGUUUAAGAAAAAGUAAGUAGAUAUGACUGUUGCACACAAAAGGCAAGAAGUUAUCAGAGAUGAACCCUUCAUCACCGAGUUCAAAACCAGACGGCCUGCUGUCUUCUGUGUUUCUGAGAAUAAAUUUAAGAGGACAACAACAGUUUGCUGCAACAGUUCUUCUCCAUGGUGGAUGGUUAUUCUCCAGACCUGAAAACGGUGUUUGGCAAGGAAGGCAGCAUUGAAGGACAAAAGAUUAAGAGCAUCAUGGUUCCCAUAACCCAGACUAACUCCAUUGAUGUCAGAAGAGUACAUCCUUUAAGCCCAGUGUGUGUUCCUCAAUGAAGAUCCUGGCAACCUUGUGAAAGAAUGGAUGAUCGUGGACGCCUUGAAGAAGCCAUGAUAGAGCCAAUUCUUGAAGUUUUUGUCAUUCACAAAGAUGCAAAGGCAGAUGAUGACCCUGAAGAUGUAGUCAUCGUUUCAAGUCCUGGAUGAGUUGGGUAGUGUCCCACUUGCUGUGUUGUUGUUUGCUCUUGUAUAUGCUCUCAACCUCAGCUACCCUCCACUAAAAGUUGUUUGAAAUAUUGGCCCAAUGCUGUAUGUACAAUACUGGAUGUUAGUGACAUUUUGUAGCUGCCUUUGACAUUUGAAUGCUGAUUUAUCGUUUUUAUGAAGCUUAUAAAGUAUUCUACCCAGUCUAAAUCCAAUGUGCUUUGUGUCUUCUCCAACCUACACACCAGCUGGGGAUAUAUGUUAGUUUACAUAAUAGAAAUACUGUUUCAAAGAUGACUUUAUUUGUAUGUAAUUUUGAAAAGCUAAUCUUGGCACAAAACAUUUGAUAACUUUACAUUGGUUGUGUUAGUAUAGCAUAUUUUAUUAAUU